rnacentral:lncRNA from 1 species
UAUCUACUAUUUUUUUUUUUUUAAGAGAUAGGUAGCACAUUAUCCAUUUCGUUUAUUUCAUUUAGAAAUAAACUUAGCUGGAAAUUUGAAUCAACAAAGAUUCGAACUUGGGUCUUCGGUAUCAACCACCAAGUCUUUUGCCACUUGCUCUAGGGAUGGUCGGUAUAUUUAUUUAUUGGAAAAAUUCUAGAAUGCAACGGGUAUAUUAGUGACGUGGCGUAACAAACCAAUCAAAUUAAUUCUUUUAAAAAUAUAUGUCCCAUCAUGAUUGUAAAAAAGUAUUUUUAUUGUACUUUUAUUUGAAAAGAAGGAAUGUGAUUGGUUUAUUAUUAAUGACGUGGUACAAGUGUGACAGUGUAGAAUUCCUCCUAUUAUUGAUAUUGAUAGAUGGAUG